AUGAAACAAUGCUAUUCGGGUGUAAAAUUAUGUGUUCUAACACUUUUCUUCUUAGGAAUUUUGUCUGAAAUGGACUCUAAACGAGAUAUUCGUGAAAAACCGAGCGCGAGGAUGAAUUCUCCAUUGCCUCUCUGCAGUCUCUUCGAGUGCUUGGGACACUUGCUCUCCCCUUCCCGCCCGCCCAUCAUGGAGCUCCGAGAGACUAGCUUCGCUCCGCCUGUACUAAACCGGGUCGGACGCACAGUCUACGUGAUUCAAUGUCUUUGCCUGUUAUACUAUAUUAUAAGGGGGGUUUUUUUUAUGCGGAUCGCAGUGGAACGCGGUGAACAUCGGUAUUUUUUAUUCCGUUCCUCAGCCGCGAUCCAAGCUGAUCCAAGCGUUCCAAGUGGAUCAGGGUGGAACGCUGGAUCGCUCUUCCGAGGUGGGGGGCCCGAGGGGGGCGGCGUCGGCGGAGCGGAUGCGGACCUCCACGUCGGUGGCGUACUGGAACUGGGACCAGGCCAUGUUGACGUCGGCGCCCGGCUCCAGGGUGACGCCGUCGCCGGAGGAGAUCUCGAACUCCCGCCGCGGGUUCGCCGGGUCGUACAUCCGCCCGUUCCCGUUGCGCGGGAUCGACUCGUAGACGAAGGAGUCGCGCCAGACCCCGAAGCCCACCGGACGCACCGCCACCUUGUACCUAUUCACAGAUUUCACAUUCAGGGACCAUACAUUUUAAGGCUCUUCUCCGUUAACAAACUAGGAGCUUGCAAGAGGUUCAUCGAUGCCGAAUCCUAGAGUCCCUUUAUACACAGAGUUACGACAACUCGAUUAUCAGCUGACCGGCAGGCGGCCUUGGCUGGCCAUGGAGGCACAAACUAGUGCACUCAAACGAACGAUAUUGAGGGAUAAGGAUAAGGAAUCCUCCGAUGUCUGUCAUCCAAAGACAACAACAUCAACAAAACUGAUCAAAACUUUAAAAUUAGAUUGAUUGGUGGAUAAUUUCUUAAUCUAUUUUCAUUUUGGUGCGAUUGAAAUAACAAUUCACUCUUGAUGAACCACAAUUUAGUUACAUUUUCAUUACUUUUCUUCACAUUCGAGGUACCGCCAUCUUGGUGCACUAGUUUGUGACACCAAGAGCGAGAACCAAUCAGAAUUGGAUUUUUCUUUAGGCCACUAUCAGCCCAACCAAAAGUGAGUUGUCGUAACUCUGUGUACGAAGGGACUCUACCGAAUCCGGCAAUCUAAUGGAGAUGUUGCAUGUGUGAGGAAUAUGUGAUUUGACUAUUGAUUCUUAUGUAAAAGUUCGAGAGAGACACGAUGGUGCCACGGGUUUUCUCUGAAAUCAACUCCCAAGCUCAAAAAAAGCCCUCAAGUUGAGGCCAAAAUGGCCGGGGAUAUCCCACGCUAUCCUGAGCGUCCAUCUCUACAUCAAGGCGAACUCUCCAUGCAAAGAUAGGGAGCAAAUACAUUAGCAGGGUUGCUGUGUUUUCAGUUUUGGAGUCCCUAAAUAAGGUGGCAGCCCUGUCAAUGUAUCUGCUCCCUAUCUUUGCAUGGAGAAUUUGUCUUGAUCUAGAGGUGGACUCUCAGGAUAGCCUGGGAUAUCCCCUCCAUUUUGGCCUUAACUUGAGAGCUUUUUUUGAGCUUGGGAGUUGAAUUUAGAGAAAACUAGUGGCACCAUCGUGUUUCUCGCGAACAUUUACAUAAGAAUCAAUAGUCAAAUCGCAAAUUUCUCACACAUGCAACAUCUCCAUUAGCCAGCGGUGCAAGUUGGGGUAAUCGAUGAGCCUCUUUGAGCCUCUUUGAAGUUUGUGCCUGCGGGCUGAUUGUUGAAAUUGAUAGACAGAGCGAUAGACAAAGAUCGGUGCCUUUUCCGCACUUCUAAUUGGACGUAUGUCUAUCAAACAGACCUAUGUGGAGGUGAAAAAUAUGGGGUCUGCUCGCUAGUUCUCUGGCCGUAAGAGUGAAUGAGAAUAAUAAAGCGCCAGUGACGUCAGCGGCAAUGACGAAGCCCGGGGAGAGGGAGAUGUCGCCGUCGCCGUUUAACUCAUGAGCCCUGUCCACAACGCUCUCUUGCCAUGCCCGCGGCUCAUGAAUCCCGCAUUCAGUUGGCACAUAGGUCUCUUUGAUAGAAUGUAAUAUCCCGCUUUUCCAAUUCUUCAAAAGGAAUCACGCCCACUUUUACAUUGCUUCUUAUGCAGAUUUCUAGAGCACACCCCAUAUUUCUCACCUCCACAUAGGUCUGUUUGGUAGAACUACGUCCAAUUGACCCGAGGUGCGAGUCACAGUAAUCGACGAGGAAAUUAUUUUUUUUUCUUCGUUCUUUUUUCUUUUCACGAAUUCCUCAUUUAAAUUGACGCUAUUACUGCAAUCAACCUAUCUACAUUACGAGAUGCCAAACUGCUUCUCAAAACUGUUUCUCUCCCUUUUUUUACCAUAGAACUAAACAAUACAAUGCCUGAAAAUGUCGCAGGAACUUCCUCUGGAUUACGAAGAAUGUACAUAAAAAAUUUCGAGUACGAUUAUUGCUCAGUUUUCUAGGGAAAAAUUAACUAUGAGAGGAAAUCAUGCGACAUCUGAUGUGGCUAGGAUGAUUUCGGUUGAAUAAGCGGUUCAUUCGAUUGUUUGCUCGUCUAGAAGAAAAAUAAAAGUUUUAACAUUAAGAGUAUACUGAGCAAUAGUGACGAUGAAGAUGGUUGAGAUGCCAACGUCUGCGAACGGACAUUUGAAACUCGUUAAAUUUUAAAAAGUGGAAUUUCAGAAAAAGAAGUACACGCUACGUCAUAGCCGUCGUUCCUUGUAUCUGAAAAGCAGAAAUGCUCAUUACUAAGGAGAAAAAAACUCACGAACGACAGAUUUUCGAAUCUCAAGUAACGUUGUUUAAGAUUCAAACGAAUCAGUCACGUCGAAAGGAUGAACGAGAGCAGAAUGCCGAAGAGUUUACUAAAAAGUACAGUUCCAGUGCGAAGAAGUCUAGAGGAAGGAAAGAACCACGACUAACCAUGGCCCUAAGUCUUUUCGUUGGCAGAUUCCAGCAAGUUGGAAACACUGUUUAAACUCCAUUUGAAGUCAUCGAAUAUAUCGAUACUAAGUGAGACGAGCUGCCACAUCUGCGGGCUGAUUAUUGAGACUGAUGGACAAAGCGAUAGACAAAGAAGACAUAGGGAGUACGGAGCGAUCUUAUUGGUUGAUAUGGUUGGUUCUUAUAGACUAAGGAAGAAAAUGAUGGACUAACUGUCGGGUCUUUAGUGGGUUCCCGUUAACUAGUCCAUUACAUACCUCCUAUGUCCAUUGCCACCACCUGCUUCCACCAAUAGGACCCCUCCAAAUCCCUUUUGUCGUCUUUUGUCUAUAGCUUUGUCCAUCAGUUUCAAUAAUCGGCCCGCAGGUGGUGGCAAUGGACAUAGGAGGUAUGUAAUCAACUAACUAACGGCAACCCACUAAAGACCCGACAGUUAGUCCAUCAUUUUCAUCCUUAGUCUAUAAGAACCAACCAUGUCAACCAAUAAGAUCGCUCCGUACUCCCUAUGUCUUCUUUGUCUAUCGCUUUGUCCAUCAGUUUCAAUAAUCGGCCCGCAGGUGGUGGCAAUGGACAGGUAUGUAAUCAACUAACUAACGGCAACCCACUAAAGACCCGACAGUUAGUCCAUCAUUUUCAUCCUUAGUCUAUAAGAACCAACCAUGUCAACCAAUAAGAUCGCUCCGUACUCCCUAUGUCUUCUUUGUCUAUCGCUUUGUCCAUCAGUUUCAAUAAUCGGCCCGCAGGUGGUGGCAAUGGACAGGUAUGUAAUCAACUAACUAACGGCAACCCACUAAAGACCCGACAGUUAGUCCAUCAUUUUCAUCCUUAGUCUAUAAGAACCAACCAUGUCAACCAAUAAGAUCGCUCCGUACUCCCUAUGUCUUCUUUGUCUAUCGCUUUGUCCAUCAGUUUCAAUAAUCGGCCCGCAGGUGGUGGCAAUGGACAGGUAUGUAAUCAACUAACUAACGGCAACCCACUAAAGACCCGACAGUUAGUCCAUCAUUUUCUUCCUUAGUCUAUAAGAACCAACCAUGUCAACCAAUAAGAUCGCUCCGUACUCCCUAUGUCUUCUUUGUCUAUCGCUUUGUCCAUCAGUUUCAAUAAUCGGCCUGCAGCUUCCACCAAUGGGAUCCCUCCAAAUCCCUUUUGUCGUCUUUGUCUAUAGCUUUAUCUAUACAUUUCAAUAAUCGGCCCGCAGGAAUCGAUUGUUUUACAUACGUUUAAAUGGGAGAAAAGCAGUGUUGCCAACUUUCAAGAAUAGCCACUGGCUACAAGGGCUGUAGUGUCAGGUGAGAAGAAGAAAGAGGAAGAGAUGCGGAGGAGGAGGAGGAGAGGAGGAGGAGGAUGAGGAGGAGGAGGAGGAAGAGGAU
rnacentral:lncRNA from 1 species